GGAUGUGAGGGCAGGAUGGCUGCAAUGUCUGUCACCCCACGGAUCACCAUGGUUGAUUGGCCUUUCCUGGCUGCCUAAGUGGGCAUUCCUUUUCUCCGUUACUGCUCCACUUGGCCUUCCUCCUAAAGCUGUGUGCUCAGUUGAGAAAGACCUUCCCAAAUGCAGGGCUAGUCUUCAGUGAGGGUGUAGGAGUAGCUGAGCCNCUUGCUAGAGCCUUCANACCAGUUCUCAUUUUAAAACCAAAAGAUUUAACAGUAAAGGGGAGAAAAUGAUUUUCAAAUUGUGGGAUUUUGUUU
rnacentral:snRNA from 1 species